rnacentral:lncRNA from 1 species
UGCACUGUCUCUAUCAAAACAGAUAAUUGAAGAAGAAAUCCUGCAAAUAAUCCUUUAUAUAGAUUUUAUAUUACAAUCCUAAUCACCAUUAAAAAAAAAAUCCAAUAUGGCUUUUAACGGGUCGGUUGUUCAACCUACACCCGCCCCUUAUCAUUGUCUAACCCGGAUUCGCUCAACAUCUUGGCGGGUCCCACCAGUCAACGGGCU